ACGCUGAAGCUUGGUGCUUGCACUGGGUGGAUGAGUGGCGAACGGGUGAGUAAUACGUGAGUAACCUGCCCUUGACUCUGGGAUAAGCCUGGGAAACUGGGUCUAAUACUGGAUACGACAUGUCACCGCAUGGUGGUGUGUGGAAAGGGUUUUACUGGUUUUGGAUGGGCUCACGGCCUAUCAGCUUGUUGGUGGGGUAAUGGCUCACCAAGGCGACGACGGGUAGCCGGCCUGAGAGGGUGACCGGCCACACUGGGACUGAGACACGGCCCAGACUCCUACGGGAGGCAGCAGUGGGGAAUAUUGCACAAUGGGCGGAAGCCUGAUGCAGCGACGCCGCGUGAGGGAUGACGGCCUUCGGGUUGUAAACCUCUUUCAGCACGGAAGAAGCGAAAGUGACGGUACGUGCAGAAGAAGCGCCGGCUAACUACG
rnacentral:rRNA from 1 species